UCCAUCCAUGGAAAGUGUAUAUUCUGC
rnacentral:sRNA from 1 species